rnacentral:rRNA from 1 species
AGGCAGGCUUAGCCGGAAUACAUUAGCAUGGAAGAAUGGAAUAGGACUGAGGUCUCGUUGUUGGUUACGCGGACUACAGUAAUGAUUAAUAGGGACAGUUGGGGGCAUUAGUAUUUAUUAGCUAGAGGUGGAAUUCUCUAAUUUGAUAAAGACUAACUUAUGCGAAAGCAUUUGCCAAGGAUGUUUUUUUAAUUUAAGAACGAAAGGUAGGGGAUCAAAGACGAUCAGAUACCGUCCUAUUCUUAACCAUAAACUACGCCCCCUCGGGAUCGGGAGCGUGUGGUAUCCGCUUUCGGCACCGUAUGAGAGGUGAGGGUCUUUGGGUUCUGGGGGGAGUAUGGUCGCAAGGCUGAAACUUAAAGGAAUUGACGGAAGGGCACCACCAGGCGCGGAGCUUGCGGCUCUAUUUGACUCAACACGGGAAAACUUACCAGGUCCAGACAUAGUAAGGAUUGACAGAUUGAUAGCUCUUUCUUGAUUCUAUGGGU